UCAUGCUUUAUUGCUUGCCCUUGGCCUGUGCAGCUUAUUCAGACAGGCAGAAGUGCCCUGUGCAGAGCACGAGCAAAGUGUUGGAUUUAAAUCCCUUUAGGCACGCCCUAUUAAUGCUCUUGUGUAUCACACUGUGAGCAGAUUCAUUCAUUCUCUAACAUUUGCUGAGCCCUAUCUAUGUCCUGGCCAUGGUGCUCAGCGCUGGGUACAGAAGGGGGAACAGAUGACACCCUGACUCCCGAAGCUCUGGAUUUGAUUUCGUAGCAUGAGGCAGACAAGCACAGCAACAAGAUCACAGCCAUCAACAGCUGCCUCAGAUGCCAGCUGUGCACACUGGAGACACAGAAUGAGAGAGACUCCUGGACAAACUGAGACCUGACAGGUGAACCAAGGUCCUGGUGGAGCAACUAUGUCUGAUGGAUGCAAACUUGCUACCUACAAAUCACGGAGCUAAGCAUCAACCUGAGUGGCUAAUGAUCAUCUUAAUUAACCCACAAGACUUUAUGCAUGGCUGGUAUUCAUCCAACCUUUUGAUCCUAGACAGGAAUCUAUUAAAGACCGUUGAGAGAAUGAAAAGACAAAAUCCAACUUCCAUAAGCAGAAUUGUUAAGAGGAAAGACAGAAGAAUGAUCUUUGAUCAGAGAGGCGAAUGCCAACACAGCAGCUUCUUACUCUAUUUAUUAGCUUGGGAUCUUUGCCAGAAGAUUUUUCUCUGUCAACCAUUUCCAGACUUGUAGGUUGUCAUUGCUAAGACUGGAAUGACAGAAGCCUCAGCCAUGAACCUGAAAUGGGAUGCAAAGAUAUUUUUUCCCCUCCCCUUCAGCAUGUUCCUCAGCAUCUGAUCAGGCAACACCCAGAAUGUGGUCCUGAAACAUCUAAAAAAGGCCUGGAUUCAGCUUCUCUUGAAUUCCAAAGGCCUGAUACGCCUGUGAUUUUUUUCCUUGGUGCCAAGUCAGCUCUGCUUAUCGACUGCUAUUUUAAUGAAACCUCCUGGUACCAGCUCAGGAAGGAUAUUUUUAUUAGAUACGACUGGGCGGAUUCUCAUGUUGAAAGCAUUUGGUGUAAAACAUGAACACAUUCAGUCCUCAGAUAUCCUUCCAAAUAUUUCCUUUGAAAUCGGAAAAUUACCAAGGAACUUGUGAUAAAAGAUGAAAAAAGGAAUUAAAAGGGUAAAAAAAAAAAGCCCACAAAGAUGACGUGCUUUGCUUCCUCUCUACACUUCUACAUGGGUGGGGCUAUGGAUAUCAGCAUUUGGAGAAAAGGAGACACCUGGAACUCAGCAAUCCCAGCCUUGCCUGUACACAUGGAGACCUAGAACCGGGGCUGGUUGCGCUCUUGAUGUCUCUUCUCCCAUGUCUUCUUCUAACUUCCCAUUAGGGCUGAAGUCAUGUGAUACAAGUAAGAACAGAACCUCCUGUUCUCAGGAUGACCUUGGCCUUGAAUUUCUAAUCUUCUUGCCUCCACUUCCCAAGUAUUGGGAAUAUGGGCAUCAGCUACCUCUCCUGGCACAAAAAGGUAUUUUAUAUGAUGGCAUUUUAAUUAUAGCUCUCACUCAACUCUACUUGCAGCUUAAACAAACAAAUGAACAAAUGAACACAGAAUGUUUCUUGAUGCUGGGUAUUGAAGCAAAGUCCUCAUAGACGCUAAUUUCAUGUUCAACUAUUAAAUUAUGCCCGUUUUCCCUCAUCAUUUACUGUUACUCCCCAUUGUCAAUGCAUUCAAACAUCACAUGAAACAUGCUCAUUAUUUUAUUUUGUGCUUUGAUCCUGUCAAGAAUAGUAUUAUCAUACUUCUACAAAAGGUCAUAAUCCUCAGGCUCAAAGCAUGAUCUGCUUGUCUCUUUCCCUCUGGCUAAGUUACUAUGAUGCCACUCAUGUUCUCUGUCUUCUCUCUUGUCUACAGGAACUGGGAAUGAAAAGCUUGAAGGAAUAUAACAUGACAUACAGCUGCCAGUGGGUGGAAUGUGCACAGAGGAAGCUCUAAGGGGAACUCUAGCACAUGCACGUCUCCGUGAUGCAUGCGGUGCCUGCAUCCAGGCUAUGCGCUACCAGAUGGUGAUCCACGCUUCUGUUGCCUGGCCCUUAAAAUCACAGCUACCUUUUGGCCAAUCCUGGAGGAAGUGAACUGCCAUUAAAGGUCACUCCCAGGAUAUCUCCUUCACAUCCUCCGAAUUAACCUCUCAAUAGUAGACUGAGGCUGUGAUUUUUUUUUAAAGCCAGGACUGCUUUCUGGCUACGGUUUUAGCCACGUGUCUAUCAAUCUCAAAGGGGUUUUGCUGUCUUCAUGGCAAACAAAGACCUAGUCAGCCUUGCCACUUACUUUGUGAUGCUUUGUGCAAAAGAAGGCCAUCUUUGAGGCUUCUCAAGAUUUCUCCCAGGACUCCUAAGAAUCCUUUUGCAAAGGAUACCUGCAAACCUUCCUGGACAUGCAAGGAGUCAAGUGAUGCGUAUGCAAAUGAGACUCCCUUGUGACUCUGAAUCACUAUACCACUGAGGAGCUUUUCUUCACAGUAAUCAACAUCUCAUCUUAAUUGCUUUUGUUUAUGUUCAAUAAGUGCAUCAUUUUGGCAACACCAGCUCACAGCAAUAUCUUAAAUUACCCAAGGCUGCCCACUUUCAUUUAUGGACUCUGCCUUGUGUCUGAUGAGCACUUAGAUUUUUUAACUAUUUAUUUCCUCUGCCUGACAGGGAAUGAAGAAUAUACAGCUUAUGGGAAAAAUUAAGUAGGAGGAGCAGUGAGGACUAGGGAACCAUAACAGAAGUGUACAGUAUGCAAGGCCAAUACAAAAGCAGUGAGUUUUUAAUAAUCCGAGUGUGCAAUACAUAUGUAUCCCUCAUAAAAUCAAUUGUUGAUUAUUGUCGAAUCUGCUAUUUCUCAGUUUUCCACCUCAUAUAAGACCAGAAAAAAAAUCCUGGAGGAAUUAAGAAAAAUGAAAAUGCUCCAAUAAUGGCAAAUUCAGUUAUGGUUAAAAAAAAUAAAGUUGUCUACUAAGUUGAUGUUUAACACAUAGCCCCUUCCAGGAACUGAGUUGAGGGUGUUGGAUGCACUGAUUACUAGGAGUAUAAUCUGAGAUAAAACUGCAUUUUUUGCCCUUGAUUUGAGUAAUUAUCUUGCUUUAAAAUAAAUUCCAGUUGUCAUUAUGCAGGCAGAGGAAAGUCAGAAAAUGGAGGGCCACUGGGGAAUCUGUGGGCAUCACUGGAGCUGUGCUAUUCAUCAUCUCCAUGAAGCCGCUCAUGUUACUAUAAUAAUCCAUGCCUUGAUUUCCCAGUCUGUCCCCCCUCCGACUGACUACUUACCAUCUUAUUGCCUUUAUCAUUAUGGUACAGGGUUAGGUGGCUGAACCCAGUGUUACCAGGUUCUUGGCCUCUUAUUCAAGAGUGAAGCGGAAGCUCACCCAGAUUGUAAAGCUGUCUGUCUGAGGAAAUUUUAUUUAAAGUUGAGCAAUAGAAAAGAUCAGAAGACACUGCCAGGGAGCAGUGGGGCACCAGAGCGAAGCUACUCAAGAGCUCUCAGGCUUCGCCUCAGGCUUCUUGCUAUAAUGUCUAAAGGAAGAAGGGGUUGGUUACCAAGGGAAUUUAUUUUGGGUCACAUAAUCAUUUUUAUACUUUGCAUAUCCCUUUCUGUAAUGCAUAUUGUAUCAUAUUAUGCCCAAUUCUGUAUAGGCAGUAGGAGGUAAAUAGGGAAGUCUCCUUAAAAGCUCACUUCAAGACACAGUUUUACCUAAUUGAUUAUGAACCCCAAAAGGAUUCAGAAUGCAUUGGUUUCCUAUCUUCCCUACAAGGCACAAGCAGUGUAUGAUUGGGCAGAUUCUAAGUUUGCUAGUUGUUAACCAGAGAAGAAAUGUACUUCACAGAAAUGUAUCUCAUUGUGUGGCUUGGUGCAGGUGGGAGUCUUAGAUUAGCUAAGACUUGGUUCAGAGGGAACGGUGAAAAGCUUAAGGCAAGUGGAGUCUCAGUUUGUUAAAAUGUUUCUUUUGCUUGCCUGUCUCAGUUACAUUUAAUUAUGGGAGAAUAUUAGCUAGCAGUUGGUAAGUAAUAAAAUCACAAGUGUGGUUUCAAACAACUUGCCUUUGUAAUAGAAGUUUCUAUGAUAAAAAAAAAUCUGUGUAAACAUAGCAACUGAAUCCUCUCUUUCAGGGACACAGAGGGAUAAAUCAAGGUAUUCAAUGGGAUUAUGUCUCAUCUGAGGUGGGACCAGGGAAGGAUAUGCACCCAAGCUUCCAAGCUUCUCUGGUAACUGGCAGAAUUUCAUUCCCUGUAGUUUGCUUAUCUGAGGAUUUUAUGUUCUGGCUGAGUGGGAGGCAUUGUUAGUUCCUACACAGUUUCUGGGCAGAGACUGCUUCAGUUCUGUGGGAUGUGGACCUUCUUGCUUUAACCAAUGUGUUCAUUAAGGCAGGUAAAAGAAAGAGAGAGAAUGUUGAGAGGGAAACACACUGGUUCGGGAAUUGUUUAUUUGUUGUUUUUUCUUUUUGUUUCAGCCAAAAGUAGUACAAGCCAUCAACUACCAUGAAACUCUCCCUUCAGUUCACGCUCAGUUUCUUUUGAAGUCUUGGUUGGUUAAUCCAUUUCAUGGGUGUGAGUCAUUGCCAUGCAGGUAGCAUGACGCAUGGCAAUUCUUUCCUUCCUUGUUUCUGAGGCAAAGAACACUGAAUCAAGGCAUCUCCGGGGCCAUGUCUUCUCUGGGGCUGGAGAGAAGGGCUCUUCUUUGCCUCUUCCUGGUUUUCUUGACUCUCCUAACCCUUAACUUGAGGCUGUCACUGCAGCCUCUGCUGCAAAUGCCAAGCAGAAUUUCCCUUGCUUUUGUCUAUGUUUACCCUUCUCCUUAUAUAGACAUAAAUCAUCAAGUUUGGGAUCCACCUAAUCCCAUAUGGUCUCAUUUUAAAAUGACUACAUCGGCAAAGAGUGUUUCCACAUAGAGAAUUUGGGAUAGACGUGGCAUAUUUGUGGACACUGUUCAUCCCACUAUUGCUGUGACUUUUCCCUUUGGCCUUUGCUACCUUACUCUAAAUGAAACAUGCAAACCACACUUUUUAACUCCCCACUGUGAAUGAUAAAGCUUCUUAAAAGGCAGCCAGGGAAGUGGUCCAGAAUCAGCACCUUCAGUAGUCAAAGAACCAGGGCUGAUAUUUGGUGUCCUUUUGCUGCAAGUUCCUCAUCUAUAAAAUGUUAAUAAUAAUGAUGAUGUUACUUAGCAUUUGGUAUUGUUAGAGGACUAAGUGACAUAUGUAGUAUGCAGAAUUAUAAGAACAAUUUCUGGUCCAUAGAAAACACUCCAAAGAGUCAUAAUCCAGCUCUCCUUUUAUCCCCCCCCCCAACUAGCUUAUUAGUUAUUAGUAAAUAUUAUUAGUAAAUGUUGUGUUUAGUGCUUGUUUUUCAAAUUAUACUUAAAGUCAUUGAUUAAUAAUUUUGACUAUACUCACAACCAAUUAUGAAGGUAAAACAGAAACAAAUGUCUAUAAUGGGAUACAUUCAUAUAUUUAUAGUUUAUGAUAAUUAAAUAACAAAUUAAAAUUGAUUGCAAUUAUGUGUUAAAUGAUUUAGAGCAUAGAGGUAUGUGAGAAGUCUUUAUUGCUUAAUAUACUUAUAUAGUGUUUGAAUAAUUCUUUCUUCUAUGAAUAAAUAAGUAACUUCAUAUACUUUUGCUUAUCUAUCUCUAGGUGUUUCAGCUGUGCUAUUUCUCUUUUCCUCCUUGGUCUCUGUAUUUACUUUAUGUGACUUAGUCAUCUUUAUUUUGUUGAGUGACUAACUUUAAGCACAGUAUUUGCAUGGGAAAUCACCUAUUAUCUGUGCACUUUAUUAUCACAACACUCAUGUUACCAUUUCAUAUUUGAGUUCUUAUCCUCAGCAGGAUUGUAUUAUUGACACGUGGCGUGCAUCAGUUCAUUUAAUCUCCGUGACAUGUAUGACAUUUCACUGAUGAGAUAACAGGAGGUACAGAGUGCCAAAGUAAUUUGUGCAAGGCCGCAGAGCUUCUCCAUGGCACAUGUGGUGUUUGAGAAGUUUCUGGCAUCAGAAUUUCUUGUUAGAGCCAGUUCAUUCUGUGGCUUCUUAGUGUCCAUAAACUCAAGGCAGAUUGCCAUACUCUACAUGGAUCCAGUGAUUGACAUAGCUGGGGCAUGGAGGGAAUGAAGGAAGGACAGUCACAUGAGUACAGACACAGAAUAACUAGGAUUGGGGACUGGGGUCUCUCCGAUGAAGAAGCCACAAUAUGACAGGGCGAGACAGUGCAGAGAUCUCUCCCUCUUGUAUUCUUGCUGAGGUCAUCUUAACUCCAGUUUGAUCUCCUUGAUGGGAAGCCCCAUGGAAAAUUACUCAACUCUAUUCUAGGAGUCCAAGGUCACAAUGCCCUGCUAUUUUCUGUUAAAUUGCCUGCCUGUGCAAACCUCCCUCUCUAGCUAACUGCUUAUCUUAAUGUCUGUUAAACUGCUUGCUUGAGCAAAACAUUGCUCUGAAGUUGCAGAGUGAGAAUUCUGGAUGUGGUUUUUGUCUUUAAAAACCCCUUACCCUAAACACCUAGUACUAUCCUUGAGACCAGAAUACCUAGGAGGUGCUGGAAUAAAGACUUUCUACUGGCUAUAAACUGUGUGGUACUCUCUGGUGGAUUCCCCAAAACAACAGCACCUCCGAAGUUCUGUGGGUUUAUUAUAUACCAUAGAAUUGGGGUUUUUGGGCAAAGCUGAACAAGGAGGCAGAAUUUAUGGUGUACAGAGCAUAGAGAAGGAAGGUUUAGCUAAUCACCGUAGGAGAGGUUUCUGUAGGGAGAAGUCUUCAGGCAUAAAUAUCUGAGCAGGGGAAGAGGAGAGAGAAAACUAUGGUAGACAUUUUCUGCCCAUACUGCCAGCUUUCACACUUAGACCAGAGGAAGCAUUGUUACCUCUCUGAGCCUCAGCCAGAGAAGGCUUUGCCAGUCCUAUACCAUUGAGGUAUUGGGGGUCUUGACAUUGCUGCCUGUGUCAACAUCAUAUAUUCACUCAAGACUGUACUUGCUCUCUACACAGAAUCUCGUUGCAUGUGACUAAAGGCACAUAGACUCUGUAUAUCUACUGAGUCACAGAUUUGGUGUCUCUGAAUACAUGCCACCCAAAAGAACAACAGCAAAAAAUCAUUAACGCAAAGAAGUGCUCCCUUUGUUUAUAGCCAACCAGUACUCCUUCCAUGUGUCUAUCCAACUCAGGCCUUUUCAGGCAUUGUGUUUUACCAGGGGCCCCUUUAAUAUUUCUCAUUCAUAGAGAAAAUGAAACCAUGCCUCUGUCUUCCCAUUAAGAAGUUGCAGUGCCUUCUUUACACAGAUCCGAUGACAGAAGUUCUUCUCCUGUCGAAGAGGUUAUUUCUGACACCUCUCGACUUCCUGUCCCCAUUUGGACUGAUUGCUUCCCUGGCACAUGCUUGUCACCCUGAGAUCUUACUUGAUUGCCCUUCUGGGUUUACCUUCCAUUUUCCCUUCACUUUGCUGAACUCCUUUUCUAUUUUCCUUGGAUUUCUUUUUCAUUUGGCUCAAGUAUAUUUUCCGUUUUAUUAUUGUUUUGCAGAAAGCACUCUCGGCUGAAACACGAUGUUCUUAUAUGUAUGCUGGUAAGGUGUAUAAUUGAAAUAUGCUUUCCAUCAAAAAGUAGAAAUUGAUGUGAAUCUGAUUAUUGGCCCAUUGAAGAUAACACCUUUCUGUCUCCCUAAGCUUUGAGGAUUUCCUCACAGGCUGUGCUAUUUUGGACUGUUGCCAGAUGUCAUUGAGCGUUGUUCAUCCUCUAUGACACUUGGAGUGAAUCUGUCAUUCUGCAACAACCGGAGUUUUAUUUCUAAAACAUAAAUCCCCAGGCCCCAUCUUCAUCUAGGGCAGAAUCUCGAUAUUCUUCCACCAUCUCUGAAUGUACUGUUAGUCGACACUGUCCCAUAGAUGAUGCUAGCUAAAACAGGGAUCUGGGUAUUUUUUAUUUAGUCCGUCUUAAUGUGGUGUAGUGUCCCCGUUAGUAAAACUGUCACGCGGACCUAUGCUCAUCUAGGUUUCAAUCCCUUCAGCAGAAGAAUGGCAUGGAAUGUAAAGGAAAGACACCCCUCCGGAGCUCCUGGUUUUCUUAUUGUCACGAGCAAUCUUAUUUGUAAGAACUGGCUUGGGACAUCCACCUGUUGGAAGAAGUUAAUCCGUCAAGCUGCUGCAACUCUGGCAAGGCUCAGUGACCUUCAACAGACCAAGUCACUUGCUGUGACAGAGUGGAGGAAAUGUUUGUCCUUGGCUUCCAUUUUGGCUGAAUCUUUUUGUCAUAUUACCUGUUUCUUGGUCCCUGAAGGUAGAUGUCUGUCCGAAAUAAAGUCAUCUGUUUUAAUUUCUCCGGC
rnacentral:sRNA from 1 species